CUUUACUGACCCGAUCGUGGCUCGACCAUCCUGUGCUAUAUGAAUAGCCCUGCUUCUCCUAGCUCACGUCUCAGCUUGCAAUUGUAGAAAAGCGGGUGCUCGGGAGCUCACCUUGCGUUCUUCUUUGUUUCCGUCGCCACGUGCUCUAGCUCACGUCUGGCUUCAACUUCCAGAAUCCUUCAGUCAAUAUGCAACCACGGAGUUGAAAUUCACAUGACUUAAAAUUUGCUGGAUUCACCUGACCAAAUUAUAAUUAAAAAAAUAUAUGAAUGUACAGAUUACCUAUGGAAAUGAAAGAGAGGGGAGAUACCGAGUACUAUCGAAUAUGGAGUAGAUGGUAUUCCUGGCUGGAGAGUAAACAUAAAACUUAAGGGAGAUUUUCGCUGUGACAUUGAAUUCUGAAUAGUGGUUAAGAUACUUUAAACAAGGAUGUAAGUUUAAGAUAGAGAUUACUUAGAAGUAGAAUCUAUAUAUAGAGGUUAAAUAAGAGAUACCGAUGUACAAAAAGCUGUUAUGAGUAUUGUGAUUUUGAUGUGCUUGUCUUUGUUUUAUAUUUUUUGUUUUUGUGUAUUGUGGUUUUUUUGUAGUGUGUAUUUUAAUUUUUUGAAAUUUAAUAAAUAUUAUUUUUUUAAAAAAA